GAUGAACGCUGGCGGCGUGCCUAAUACAUGCAAGUCGAGCGAACGGACGAGAAGCUUGCUUCUCUGAUGUUAGCGGCGGACGGGUGGGUAACACGUGGAUAACCUAUCUAUAAGACUGGGAUAACUUCGGGAAACCGGAGCUAAUACCGGAUAAUAUUUUGAACCGCAUGGUUCAAAAGUGAAAGACGGUCUUGCUGUCACUUAUAGAUGGAUCCGCGCUGCAUUAGCUAGUUGGUAAGGUAACGGCUUACCAAGGCAACGAUGCAUAGCCGACCUGAGAGGGUGAUCGGCCACACUGGAACUGAGACACGGUCCAGACUCCUACGGGAGGCAGCAGUAGGGAAUCUUCCGCAAUGGGCGAAAGCCUGACGGAGCAACGCCGCGUGAGUGAUGAAGGUCUUCGGAUCGUAAAACUCUGUUAUUAGGGAAGAACAUAUGUGUAAGUAACUGUGCACAUCUUGACGGUACCUAAUCAGAAAGCCACGGCUAACUACGUG
rnacentral:rRNA from 1 species